rnacentral:lncRNA from 1 species
AUAUUAAAAAAUAUAAAAUUCGAGUAUUCGGAUUAAAACCCGGUCUGGACCCAGACCCGAACCGAUUGCAUCCGGACAGGAUCUGGCCAUUGCAAUACCCGAACCCGGCCCGGGAUUUUGCCAUUUCUAAUGAGGAGGGCAACUGCUUCUAUUGAUUUCAUAUGAAUAAAUGAAAAACAAAUAUUUUAACCGUCAAGGUUUGUCAAAAAAAUUAAAUAAAUAAAUAAAAUAAAAGGCUAGCAUCCAUAAACAUAAAUUAAUCAAAUAAUGAGGGGUUUUGGUCGUUGGCCACUAGGGAGUUUGCUGGUAGGGUCAAUCUGCAAUGAAUAACUAGUGGUGCAGAGGCUUGAGGCGGUAACAACAGGUGGCUGGGGUUAUAGAAAAUUUUUUGAUUUAUUUUACUUAUAAUUUUAUUUGUAAUAAGGGCAAUUUUAGAAAUAAAUGAACUUAUUUAAAAAGUGGAGGCUACUAAGAGAUAUCGAGAGGGUUAAAAUAUCACCACUCUUCAAUUAAAUUUCUGCCACUCGAGCCAUAGCUUAGUAGUAAUCUAAACUCUUUAAUCUUUGAUUUAGAAAGUGGGUUUGAGAACCAAAAUAAUGAUUGGGCUAAUUCUGCCAUAAUGGGAUAAAUGUAGAUUUUUUUUGUUCUCACAAAUAUAUGUCUCCUGACUAUUAAUGGGUUCAAAAUUUAGAUUGUAUCAUAUUAGAAUUGAUAUUAGAAUUGAUUCAAUGUGUCGUAAUAGAAUUAAUUUAGGCAAGUCAAGUAGCUGAUUAUAAAAAUUUCAGUUAAAAAAGAAGAGCUCUUUCCUUAGUAAGGAAGGUGAGCUUGAUGAAAUAAAAAUCUUGAAGAAAAAGUCAGCCAUGAUAGAAUAAUAAAGUAAGAGAAGGGAAUUUGCGGAAGUAAGAGGAAAUACAGGAAAUUUGUUUUCAGGUUUGGGAUGUGAAGCUAACCAAAUCAGAUUUUAGGGGAGGCACUAUUAGAUUUGUGCAAGUUGGAACUCAAGCUGCUUAAUAUUAUUGAAUUAAAAAUAAAAUCAAAAUUAACAGAAGUAGCUGACUUUUUUUUUUUUUUUUUUCCAUUUGCAACCAAAUUUACAAAUGAUUACAACAUUUUCCCAUAAAAAUUAUCUUAGAGUGGAGUCCUAAUCAUAACAUAACUGAUCCAAUAUGUGGUAGAAAGAAAGUUCAGCUUUUCAGUGUUUUCUUUUUUGAUUGAUAACUUGGAAGCAAAACCAUGGCCGUAAAAUGGGACACUUAAAUAAGGGACCAUAUAUAAAGAAAAAGUGAAAGUGGCGUGCCCAACUUCAUUAGUUCCAGCAACUUUUCUCCACUCAACAUCAGAUCAGAUGUUUGGCAAGCAAAUUAUUGCUCUGUUAGUAAAUUUUUGUCAUUAAAAAGGGAUGAUAGCCCUACCAUGAAACUAUAAUUGAAGCAAAAAUGCAACGCCCAAAUUAGAGAAAGAGCUAUUUUUGUGAGUAGUAAGUUUGACCCAUUGUUUAUUCUGGCUUUAUAAACACAAUAGCCAUCUAUGACCUAUGAAAGAAAAGGAAAAAAAUAAGUAUUUAGGAAAAAAUAAAAGAAUACCCUUUAAUACUUCACCUAAAUGAUGUCCUGCAUCUAGCAUAAUUAGGACACUUACACAUCUUAAAUUGGGGAGAAUGGUUAUGUAGACCCCAAAUUUUCAAUAAAGACUAUCAAAACUCUCUUUUAACUAUAAUACCCUUUA